rnacentral:rRNA from 1 species
AUUGAACGCUGGCGGCAGGCCUAACACAUGCAAGUCGAGCGAGCGGCGGACGGGUGAGUAAUGUCUGGGAAACUGGCUGAUGGCGGGGGAUAACUACUGGAAACGGUAGCUAAUACCGCGUACAAUUCGAUGUGCGCAGGGGGGGUUAGCUAGUAGGGGGGGUAAAGGCGCACCAAGGCGACGAUCCCUAGCUGGUCUGAGAGGAGGAACAGCCAAACUGGAACUGAGACACGGGCCAGACUCCUACGGGAGGCAGCAGUGGGGAAUAUUGGACAAUGGGCGAAAGCCUGAUGCAGCCAUGCCGCGUGUGUGAAGAAGGCCUGCGGGUUGUAAAGCACUUUCAGCGGGGAGGCGUUACCCGCAGAAGAAGCACCGGCUAACUCCGUGCCAGCAGCCGCGGUAAUUC